CAAACUCUCGUGAAUCCCUAGAAAAAACUCUCGUGAAUCCCCUUCUCUGCCGCCACCACCCAUGCCGACCCGUUCCGGCGAGCUCCGGCCGAAAGCGAAGAACUCACCGGAACCAGAAUCAUGUGCGUUCGCCGCACUGAUAGGGGUGGGAGGCGGCCCUCUCUCCCUUGCCCUCUCCGCUUCCAGCUCGGCCUCCCUCCUCCGCGUCGGUGGUGACUCCCCGCAGUGUGGGAGACCCAGGUUUAGUCUUUCGCCCCGCCCCGGUGCUGCGCUGCUACUCCCCUCCCGCCCCGCCGACACCGACGCCGAUGGACCGGGAAGAAGUGACGGAGUCCCUGGGCCAGGUGCCCCUCCUGCAGUGCCUCCCCGACUCUUCCAUCCGUAGGAUUGCCGACGCCGUCCAGGUCAAGCACGACGAACCUGGGGAUUAUAUUGCUCGUGAAGGUGAACCCAUAGAUGGCCCUUGCAUCAUAUUGGAUGGGCAGUUUGGAGAAAUUCAUGGUUAUUUACAGUUUUGAGUUAGAUUUACUCCAUUUGAAAUGAGGGCAUAUAUACUUGAUUGGGUAUACAGAAUCUUACUUGCUUCUAAAUCCGCUGAGCUGUACUGAUGAUGGUGUGUUUUCUACUCACACAUUUUAUCCAAAGGAUCCUUAUGACAAAACGACUGCCACUUCUAGGUUGCUGAAGGAGGGGAGCUGGCCUUCUUCACGUCUCGGGGCAUUGUCUUCCUUGGAUUCAACAAGGAGGGGACCCGGCCUUCUUCAGCUCUCGUGCAGCAAGGGUGAUCGAUGUGGACCACCACAACCAGGUGGGUGUUGUGCUCUUCGGAGACUGCAUCACGCAAAUGAUCGUCCAGGUGAUUGCAACGCCGGAGGUCACCGAGGUGGAGGACCUCAAUGCCACCACCCAGAGGGAGGGAGGGUUCGGGUCCACCGGCGUUUGAACUCCGAGCCUUGGUAGAUACAUCUAGAGAAGUGGUCUGGUUGUUUGCGUCUGAUGUUAAAUGGGAUCUCGUGAUCCCUUGGAGUUGAGAUGGUCAAUGUUGCAGCCAUGAAUGCUGGAAGUGCUAAAUUGGUCCUGUGACCUUAGUUUAUU